rnacentral:lncRNA from 1 species
UCUCUCUCUUCUCUUCACCACCAGUGCUGGUUUUCUGGCUGGUUUUGAUCUAAAGUUUGGGUCUUUUUUGUUUAAUUCUUGUGUAUUUCAGUUGGGUUUGUUUUUGAAUGGCUUAAAGCUCUAAAUGCUUUGAAUGUUUUUGUUUUUGAUCUUUUGAGCUGUUCAUGUCGAUUAUAUUUUAUUUUUGAAACUUUUAGUUCUUAGUUUGGUCUCAUGAAUCUGGGUUUUGCUGUUAAAACUAUGGUGCUUAGAUUGCUUGGUUUGGUCACAUGAAUUUGGCUUAUCUGUUGAAACUAUGGUGCUUAGAUUGCUUGGUUUGGUCUCAUGAAUUUGGGUUUUCUGUUGAAACUAUGGUGCUUAGAUUCGUUAAUUUGGUCUCAUGAAUUUGGGUUCUGUUGGAACUAUGGUGCUUAGAUUAAUCUCAGUUAAUCAGUUUAAUAAAGGGCUUUGCUUUUGCCAGAUCGACAUCAUGAAAUGUCUUUGAUUGUUCAAGUUUUGCGGUUUCUUUGUAUUUGUUUCAUUAUCCAAGCUACUGUCCUUAUCUGUGUUAUAUAUUCUGCUAGCUGACUUGAGAUGUAAAUGGUUUAUAAGGUUUGAUUAACUUUGUUUUCGUCCUUUGUUUUUGUUGUUAGUGGGGAGUUUGAAGGCUAGGACCUAUUAAUUUGGAAUCAAAAAAGUAAAAUCAAAAUGUCGUGAAACAGGAACUGUGUUGUUUGGUGGUGUUGCUCCGCGCCAUACCGUAAUUGUAUUCACUCGGAGAAAUUGUUUGGUUGUUGAAGCAAUCUUUUAUUUGGUGAUUUUAUAGUAGGUAGAGUUGUGAGAAUGUUUGUUGGGGUAACCUGGCCUUAAAGAGAUACAGAGCUGAGCUAAAUACUUUGGGAAAGGCAGAACAUGCCACUGAUCAUUGCCUUCUGCUAACUGUACUGAGUUUGCCAGGCAUAUGAUAAAAGGGAAAAGUAAAGAAGCUUUCAUUGCAUAGAUAUCAAGUACGUCAACAAGUGGGCGGUAAAGACUGGAAGGAUAUACCCAACAACAACUUGACGAGGUGCGCAUGGAGGUGGCCGACUACUUGCAGACCUUGUUGUAGAUUCUGACUAGGAUGGGGAUUUUGAAUUCUGACUAGGAUGAGGAUUUUGAGUAAGGCUAGAUAGCUUUUGGCUCACUUUUUUUGUAGUAGAUGAAGUGAAUGUUAGGCUAUAUUGCAAUAUAUAGGCAUUGUUAGGCUAGCCUUGUAGUAGGUUAAUUGGGAUUUUGUUUUGCCUAUUUUGUGAAUUGUCAAUGAUGAUGAUUUUGGACAAAAUACCCAAAUAUAUAUUGAAAUCACUUU